AAGAUGACGCUUGGAGCGUGGGCCGCGACAUUCGCCGGUCGUGUUCCGCCCUCCUCGCUGCCGACCCUCCGGGGCUAGCGCCUGAGAUCCCUUUCCCAGAGUGCUCUGCGCCGUGAAGAAGCGGCUCCCGGGGACUGGGGGCAUUUUGCGUUGGCUGGAGCCGGAGUAACAAGAUGGCGGCGUCGGCGGAGUGAUAGGGGUCCCUCCGGGCGGGAGCCGGCGGCAGUGGUGGCAAGGGUACCACCGCCCUAACUCACCGCGCCCCUUUUCCAGCCCUCGACGUCGCCGCGAGAGCGUGGCACCGGCGGCAGCCCAGAAACAAGUGGCUCAGCCUGGGAACCGCGAGAACCCUUCACAAACUGCGGCCUGACCCCCCCCCCCCCCAAAAAAAAUCGGACAGAGCAGCGGUGAUCGGGUUCCCCUUGGCGGAUUCUGGGGCCCUGUGACGCCAAAAGCCAACGUUUUCCGUUUCCUGCCGCCCUCCUCCGCAGCCUUGCUCAGGGGACGAGCGCAGAGGCCUCUGUCCUCUUCUAAGAGGUGUCGGGGCUUGGCCCCAGCCUCCGUCUUCGUCUCUCAGGAUGGCGAGCAGCAGCGGCUCCAAGGCCGAAUUCAUUGUCGGAGGGAAAUAUAAACUGGUACGGAAGAUCGGGUCUGGCUCCUUCGGGGACAUCUAUCUGGCGAUCAACAUCACCAAUGGCGAGGAAGUGGCAGUGAAGCUAGAGUCUCAGAAGGCCAGGCAUCCCCAGUUGCUGUACGAGAGCAAACUCUAUAAGAUCCUUCAGGGUGGGGUCGGCAUCCCCCACAUACGGUGGUAUGGCCAGGAAAAAGACUACAAUGUUCUAGUCAUGGAUCUUCUUGGACCCAGCCUCGAAGACCUCUUCAAUUUCUGUUCAAGAAGGUUCACAAUGAAAACUGUACUUAUGUUAGCUGACCAGAUGAUCAGUAGAAUUGAAUAUGUGCAUACAAAGAAUUUUAUACACAGAGACAUUAAACCAGAUAACUUCCUAAUGGGUAUUGGGCGUCACUGUAAUAAGUUAUUCCUUAUUGAUUUUGGUUUGGCCAAAAAGUACAGAGACAACAGGACAAGGCAACAUAUACCGUACAGAGAAGAUAAAAAUCUCACCGGCACUGCCCGGUAUGCUAGCAUCAAUGCACAUCUUGGUAUUGAACAGAGUCGCCGAGAUGACAUGGAAUCAUUAGGAUAUGUUUUGAUGUAUUUUAAUAGAACCAGCCUGCCAUGGCAAGGACUAAAGGCUGCAACAAAGAAACAAAAAUAUGAAAAGAUUAGUGAAAAGAAGAUGUCCACUCCUGUUGAAGUUUUAUGUAAGGGUUUUCCUGCAGAAUUCGCCAUGUACUUAAACUAUUGUCGUGGGCUGCGCUUUGAGGAAGCCCCGGAUUACAUGUAUCUGAGGCAGCUAUUCCGCAUUCUUUUCAGGACCCUGAACCACCAGUAUGACUACACGUUUGACUGGACAAUGUUAAAGCAGAAAGCAGCGCAGCAGGCAGCCUCUUCGAGUGGGCAGGGUCAGCAGGCCCAAACCCCCACAGGCAAGCAAACUGACAAAACCAAGAGUAACAUGAAAGGAACGUGGCUGGUCACUUAGCAACGUAACUCAAAUCACAGGGGAAGACCUUGAAAUAUCUGGAACGACUGAUCUGCUCUGAAUAUACUCAAUGUCAAAGAAGCACCAGGGAGCUGCGUCUGCUUGCUGAAAUUUUUGUCAGCUUUUUUUCACUGUGGACAAUAAAGCUGGAGAGAAGAACUAAAUUACCCGACAGGAAAUGAAGAUGAGUGUGCAAGAGUUGAUCUGUGGUGAUCUGAAGCCCACGUCUUCAAGGCUUGCUUGACCUAUCAGACUUGGCACCUUGUCAGAUUUCCUGGGUGGUACAGCGGUCCAGAAGACGCAGAAGAGUACAGUGUGGCUGUGGCUCAAGUGGUGUAUAAUGCAGACCGUCUACCAGUUGGGGAAGGAAUCAGUUGUUACAGGAACAAAGGGAUCCACUUCUUAUUUUAGCUGUUGUUGCAGUGAAGAUGGGUUUUUGGACUUGUAGAAGCCAGGAGACACCACCUAAAGUGCAAGACAAAAACCAAGCACUAAUGCUGCACACUGGGGAAAAAGAACACUUAGAACUUGAAGAUUGAAUGUCCAAACCCUGGAUGCUCCUAUUGAGAUUUUUUUCUCAACAAACUUCAGUAACAUCCUAGGACGAUUCACUGGAGAUACAUUGAUUCCCUAGGCGGAGUGUCCUGCUUACCACUGGCUAAUCUGAAGAGUUAAAUCUGGAUUUGACUGAUGUAUUCUACCAGGAAUAUUGUUAGGCUAGCCUUUAACCAGUCCGUAAACAGUUGUAAUUAUUAAUUGACCCAGGAAUUCUUUAAAUCUAAUUAAAAGAUGAACAGAUAAAGUUCUUACCUAGAUAAUUUUUAUCCCUGUUAAAGACACAACUGGUGUAACUUGUAUUUCCUUUUUAGUUUAUUAGUGAUGAUGGUUUCCAUUUAAAGCUGUUUGGAUAUUCAACAUAGUAAUUAUUCUAUAUAAUUGUGUAAGUAAGCUGUGAUAAUAGAAAAAAACAACAAUUUUACUAGUUGGGGAAACUUUGUAUUUAAGAAUAAUUGCAGUACUUGAAAAAAUGCUUAUUAGGGUAAAGGUCAUUUCUAUUUAGCUAAUCCAGUUUUAAUUUGCUUUAAAGUAGUCUAUGUUAAAAUUGGGAUUAGAUUACAGAAUAUAGUCAGAUUUUUAAAAUUCAAUUCAGGUGUGAUUUAAAAGCUCUUUUUAUGGCUUACCUUGCUAAUCCUAUUUAAUAACACAUAUCGAUGCAUAUCAAUAAGAUAAUAUUCCUUGUGGUGAAGUACAAUUUCAGGAAGUUUCCUCCUUUUAUUUUUGCCAUUUGCUUUAUCAACAUAGUGCUUGGGGCAGGUAACAUCGGUCUGUUCUGUACCUACUCUUAAGUGUGGCGUUAUCUUUGGGAAAAAGGCAUAUGGUAUAUACAGGAACAUGAAUUAUAAAAGUAUUUUAUUUAUCCCACAAAGCUCAUUGGCGGUGGUCCACAAAUGUUUGGGAAGUACCAAAAAAAAUAGGUAGUUUAUUAUUGGGGGGGAAAAAAGGUUUGUGCUAAGGAAGUGAGAGAUCAGAGUGGGCUAGAAUAAGCUACUUAAUAGCGUGGCUGUAAGAGUUCAGAAGGGGGUGGAAAGGGGCAUCAGUGCCUUGAAAGAGAGGAGAGGGCAUUCAUGGGGUUUUUGUGUUAUUCCUGAGAGAGAGGUCUAUUUCCUCUCUGUCUUUAGCCAUAGGUAAAUUUACCUGAAUUCUUUAUUCCGCCGACCUUGACAUGAAGCCCUACCAGGGCUGUCCAGCCUGUGGCCUGAGAGCCACAUGCAACCCAGGAUGGCUGUGAAUGUGGCCCAACACAAAAUUGUAAAUUCACUUAAAACAUGAUGAGAUUUUUUUUGUGAUUACGUGUAAUUCUGUAUUUAAUGUGUGGCUCCAGAGAUGCCAAAAGGUUGGACACCCCUGCUGGAGUCUUAAUUGUGGCUGAGAGGAAGGAGUGUUUGCAAGGCGGGAGGGCUUGAGAAGUAAAUAAAGCUAAAAAAACAACUCUUUACAUUUUCUAAUCCAAGACAAAACCUAACCUUUCUAAUGUAAACUGAAUGGAAGUAAAGAAUUUUUGAAGUCGUGAGGUCUCCGUGUAAAAAGUAACAAUUUUGUGUUCGGUGGAAUAACUCCAAUAAUGAUGCCUUGAAUACACUUACUAGAAUUUAUUGUUCCCUUGUAUCAGAAAUAAUGUGCAAAAAAGUCUCUAACUCAGAGUAUGAUUGAACUAAACUUCCCACUUGCUGGAGCAAUCCAUUGUUCAUCAGUUUGACAGUGGAACACAGUAUGUUCUAGGCACUGGAGAUACAGCAGUAAACAAAACAGGCUUAGUGUGAUUACCACGGCUCGUCUAGCUUGAGCACCACAUGCUGACUGGGAGGUUUUACUUCACUGUGUACCAUUCCUACCUAGACGUCUCCAGAGCAGACAGGUUUCUUGUUUUUCUGUUUUAAAAAAUUGAGCUAGUGAUUUUCAAAUAAAUAAAAUCACCUGAGUCACACGCAAUUGUAGCACAAUUGUUAACCCACUCUACCCAAUUUCCUUAUUUGGGGUGUCAUUUUAAACUUUCUUUAACUUGGAAUUUUAACCAUUUCUUCCUGUUUUUAUUCUUUUUGAACAGGUUUCUAAGCAUGAAUCAAGGAGCAGAAGAAGCAGUGCAGAUGAUCGGAGCAGCAUUUGUUUCUCCCCAAAUCUAGAAAUUUUAGUUCAUAUGUACACUAGCCGGUGGUUGUGGACAACCAUUUACUUGGUGUAAAGAACUUAAUUUCAGUAUAAACUGGCUCUGGGCGGCAUUGGUGAUGCUGGGUCCCGAGUUGUAGCUGCUGUUAAUUGUGAAUAUUAACUGAGAUAGUGAAACAUGGUGUCCAGUUUUUCUAUUGCAUUUUUUCAAGUGGGAAAGUUAACUAAAUGGUUGACACACAUAAAUUGGUGGAGAAAUUGUGCAUAUGCCAAUUUUUUUUUUGUUAAAAUCUUUUACUUUGAACUAUACUGCUUUGAGAUCUCAUUUCAGAAGAACGGCAUGAACAGUCUUCAGCCACAGUUGUGAUGGUUGUAAAUGCUCACAAUUGUGCAUUCUUAGGGUUUAUCCACCCCUGGGGUUUGCAAGUUGUUCACUUAAAACAUUCUUAAAAUGGUUGGCUUCUUGUUUGCAAGCCAGCUGAUAUGGUAGCAACCAAAGAUUCCAGUGUUUGAGCAUAUGAAAGACUGCCUGCUUACCUGUGCUAGAGAUAACAGCAUCUAAAAGUGAAGACUUAAGAAAAACUUAGUGACUACUAGAUUAUUCUUAGGACUCUGCAUUAACUCUAUAAUGUUAUUGGUAUUAAAAAGAAGCAUAUUUGUCACACAAAAUUAGUUAACAUCUUAAAACUGAACAUGUAUGUAUGUUGCUUAGAUAAAUGUAAUCACUGUAAACAUCUAUAUGAUCUGGGAUUUUGUUUUUAUUUUGAAAUGGGAGCUUUUUUGUUUACAAGUUCAUUAAAAACUAUAAACUGUUUCUGUAAGGAAAUGAGGUUUUUUUUAAACAACAACAAAAAAAUGCCUUGCUGACUCACUCUGCAAUCAAAAUCUCCCCAAUUUUUUAAUAGACUACUUCAAGCCAUUUGUUACAUAAUACUCCUUUGCAAAUCAUUUUAGGUUUAGUGUUAUAACGUUUCCUCAAAUUUUUUUAAUUUAAAGUUGUUUUUGUCUGGAGGAGAAAGGCAUUGUUUCGUUUUUCUUUUUCUAAUGACCUGCAGGCACAAACGCCUAGCGCUGCGAUUGCUAGGGCUCGGUGUCGUGACCCCUGCAGCCUCGGACUAACCACAGCUGGACUGAUUUCGAGUAAGAACGAAAGCGUUAAAGGGUUUAACUGCAGAACGAAGUUUUCCUUUCAGUUUCUUGUUAAUUGGCUUUGAGCAGAUUGACUCUCAGUCUUGGGGCGCUUCACACCAUGUGAUUGCUCGCCCUCCCCCGCCCACCCGUUUCUGCAAGUUUCUGCGUUUCCCUCUCUCAGUCUUACAUGCCGCCCUUUUCUUCUUCUGGCCCAAGAGAAAGAGUUAUUGAUAAUUUUUUAAAUACUGUAAUUUAUUCAUUUAUAUCAUGUCAGAAUAAAUUCAAAAGAACUUUUGUCUGAAAAUGCUGCCAGGACCCUAUUGUGUAAAAAUGUAGGUAUUUUGUAAAAUAACCUUGAAACUGUAAAUUGACACUUGUUUGGUCAGAUUGUGUCAAGCUUCAUUUUUCUUUUUUUCUUUUUAUUUGAAAACUACUUUAGCAAUAAUUAAUUCUGGAAUGACUCCAUUCUGCCACUAAAGGUAUGCUAGCACCGUCCUGCUGCAGAAACCACGAUGAGCACGAGUUCGGGGCAGGCAGCUGUGUUUCUCCCUACCACCCGCGUCCGUGUUUGUUUCCUGACUAAUAAACCCUUUGAUACUUUUAGCCAGAAAUCAGUCUCAUAAAGCUAUUUUUGAGUAUAGUUUGUGUAAAAUAAAAAUGUUUAGCUUUGGUAAUAACUUUUCCAAGCUGAACUCCCUCUAGCAAGAUAUUUUUCAGUGCUUUUAUUUACUAUGCACUUAGACUAUGCACUUUUUCUGAAAUAUUUUUGUAACACUUAACUUUUUUGUAUUUUUGCCAUUUGAAAAGGUGUGGUGUAGCUGGUCUGUAAUUAAGUUGCAGAUUUAUAACUGCUGUUAGCUUUGUAAAUCAAAAUGUAGGUGUUUUGUCCUGGUAUAUCGUCAUUCCGUCUGCGGCUGGAGCUGGGAUCCCAUUGAUCUUCUAGCUACCAUUCAUUCUCUUCACAGUUCACAAGAGAAGAAUGUGAAAUUCAGUGAAUGCUGUUUACUAAUCCUGUCGGGAGAUGAAUCUCAUUUCACCAAAAUUAAAUUAUGUUUUUCCACUAAAAUGAUGAUACAAGUUGAAGACACAUCACUCUGAAAUUGGAAGACCUCGCCACUUAAGGCUCCGCAGUGGCUUACUCAGCUGAACUCGAGGUUACUGCUCUUCACUUCGUUCACCCAUUGAGGGGGUACAGUUUUUUUAAUGUUGGGAGAUGGCCAUUCUAACUACUGUUGAAUGUCUCUGUUUUGGGAAGGUAUAACAAGAAAAUAAAAAAAAUAUAUAUGAAGGGAGAGACUGGUUAUCUCCUCCCA